UUGUUGUUGUUGUUGUUGUUGUUGUUGUUGUUGUUGUAGAUUUCAUUAUGCGCUUUGGUUGGAGGAAAAAUGCGCUUUCGUGACUUUUUAUGGGGUGUCUGCGCUUUGGAACCACCCCCUCGCGCUUUAGUAUCGCAACACUGCGCUUUAGUACCGCGUUGCGCUUUCGCACCCACCCUCAGAUUUGAUGUGUUGCGACCUGCACUUCAGUAUCGUUUUGUCGAGGUUCCAGCUACUAUUUUCAGCGAGCCAAUCACAAGCCGAGAAAUUGUUGCAGCGCUGUUCCUGCCACGCGGUGGCCGCCAUUACGCCUUCUUCAUGCAUAUCUUCAGCAGUAAAAACUAUGGUUACUGGGACAAACAGCUUGACUGAUUUGUUGACCAAGACUGUUUGUAGUUUGGGCUUUGUUCAACCAUAAACAAAGGAUGGCUGAACAACUAUGUCCCCUGGAUCUUUCAACUAAACCUCUUUCAGGUUUAGCCAUGAAGCUGUUUAAAGUGCACCUUAUAACAUGCCGAAGACUGUUAUAAAGGUAUCAAUGAAGUCAAGAUCCCAUUCCUGCGAGCCACACAGUGACAAAAUAAAUGACCACAGGACAUAUCUCCCAAGCCAGCAUGUGGAGGUGGAGGUAAAUGUUGAAGAGCUAGCUCCACCUGAGGCCUCUGCUGCUACCCUUGAAACAGUCUAUCAACCUGAAGAAACUUUUCUCCCAAUUGAAGACCCGAAGCCCCAGGAGAUUAUUCUAAAUGUUGAGAACUCGGCAGAGGUCUUGCCUUGUGAUGGAUUAGUAGAUGUACUUUCCCUAACAGUAAAAAAGCAGAGGGAAAAAUCUAAUUGCCCAGCAUGCAAAAAAAAACUAGUUCACCUGCCUCGCCACCUAGUGAGAGUACAUGGAUGGUCCACAGAUAGAGCUAAAAAAAUAUCAUGCAUCAUGGGAACAAGAAAAUACAGAGGGCUCUUUACAAGAAAAGUUAGGAAAACGUGUACAGUCAAGAACUGCUAUGCACAGGUUACUCGAUUGGGUCAGCACAUGAAGAGGGUGCAUGGGAUAUGCCUCCAACCUGAAGCAUUCUAUUCCCAAGCCUCAUCUGAGAACACCCCACUAGAAAAUACCGAAUUUGAGUUACAAGAUAAAGUAAAGCAAAGAUUGAGUUCUGGUACAGGCAGUACAGAUGAAGAAGAGAUAGACUACACAGACAAUAGUGAUGUUGUUAGUACAUAUUGGAAAG